UAUGGCCAAAUCAUAUUGAAACACUAGUUCCUGUAUGACCACCAAAGUUAAGCAAUGUCGAGCCUGGUGAGGACCUAGAUGGGUGACCACUUGGGAAUUCCAUGGGCUGUAA